UACGGGAGGCAGCAGUGGGGAAUUUUCCGCAAUGGGCGAAAGCCUGACGGAGCAAUACCGCGUGAGGGAUGACGGCCUAUGGGUUGUAAACCUCUUUUUUCAGGGAGGAAUCAAUGACGUGUACCUGAAGGAUAAGCAUCGGCUAACUCCGUGCCAGCAGCCGCGGUAAU
rnacentral:rRNA from 1 species